rnacentral:tRNA from 1 species
GCACCCAUAGCUCAUUUGGAUAGAGCGCUGGACUUCGAAUCCAAAGGUGACAGGUUCGAUCCCUGUUGGGUGCA